UGGCAUUCCUGGGAGGCUGGUUUGGAGAACUCACUGAACCUAAGUGAGCAGGAAGUGAAGGUCUGUUCCCACCUGUGCCUGUGUUCCCAGAUAGCAGCUGCCUCCAGGAGACUCACCAGGAGCCAGGUCCCUCCAUACCUCAUCUCAAUUAACUCACUCACCAGGAGCCAGGUCCCUCCAUAACUGAUCUCAAUUAACUCACUCACCAGGAGCCAGGUCCCUCCAUACCUGACCUCAAUUAACUCACUCACCAGGAGCCAGGUCCCUCCAUACCUCACUCACCAGCAGCCAGGUCCCUCCAUACCUCAUCUCAAUUAACUCACUCACCAGGAGCCAGGUCCCUCCACACAGAGUCUCAAUUAACUCACUCACCAGGAGCCAAGUCCCUCCAUACCUGAUCUCAAUUCACUCACUCACCAGGAGCCAGGUCCCUCCAUACCUCAUCUCAAUUAACUCACUCACCAGGAGCCAGGUCCCUCCACACCUCAUCUCAAUUAACUCACUCACCAGGAGCCAGGUCCCUCCAUACCGGGUGUCAAUUAACUCACUCGCCAGGAGCCAGGUCCCUCCCUAAUGGAUCUCAAUUAACUCACUCACCAGGAGCCAGGUCCCUCCACACCUCAUCUCAAUUAACUCAGUCACCAGGAGACAGGUCCCUCCAUACCUCAUCUCAAUUAACUCACUCACCAGGAGCCAGUCCUCUCCAUACCUGAUCUCAGUUACCUCACUCACCAGUAGCCAGGCCUCUCCAGACCUGGCUUAAUUCUCACUAUACUUAAUUCAAUUAAUUCUCACUAUAGCCCUAUCAGACAAACUCUAGGAUACACAUGAGGAUACAGAGUCUCAGAAAGGCUGAGAAAGUGGCUUGAGGUCACCUAGGUGGUAAGUGGUAGAGCUAGGAGUUGAAGUCAAGUCUGACUCUCAAGUCCACGCUCUUUCCAUUGCACUAUCUGCUUUUCUUUCUCCCCAAAGCCACAAUAUGCCACGAUGCGGCCCAAGGCCUCUCCUCCAGUACCGUGCUGAGGGCUCUGAACAGAUCAGGGCUGAAGCCAAGAUGUCAUCCAGUGCAAUACCCACAUGACCUCCGUGAAUAUCUACCCUGCCUUAACACUGUUUAUCUUUAGGAAGCAGGAUGCCUGAGGUCCAAACUUCUCCCUGGUGAUCAAACCAGCUAAGACUGAUGGAAUCCAAGAUGGCAGCUCAUUUGACCUCUAACUUCAUUAUAAUCUAAUUUCCAUGUUAAAUGACAGUCCCACUAACACCGUAACAGUCAACAACCAACAUGACAAUGAUGGGAAAAAAUAACAUAAAAAAACAAAUAGGAAGGUGGCACUCUGGUUUUGAAAAUUUCUCCACCCAGACCCAGAAAACACAUGAUUCCUCCCCUUGCUUUUUUCAUUUUUAUUUUUGUAGAGAUGGGGGUGUAUCACUAUGUUGACCAGGAUGGUCUCGAACUCCUGGUCUCAGCAAUCCUCUCAUUUUGGCCUCCCAAAGUUCUGGGUUUAUGGGAGUGAGCCAUUGCACCUGGCCACUCCUCCCCUUGCUUUUAAUGCUCAGCCCCUUCACUAAAGAUGCCCUGUAUCUGUGACUUCCUGGGUCUCACGAGCAGAAAAGUUGAUUUGUGAGCCAAGCUCUCACUUCUCAAUUCCAUGGCCACCAAAUAAAGCCUGCACUGCUUGAGGCUCACUUUCGGUUUUGCAUAUUGGCUUCAUGGCACCAAACAGGGAAAGACCCCAUUUUAGGGAAAGUGGCUUUGUCAGUAACAAGGACACAGAAGGAAAGAAAUGGAGGAUGAUUUAGGGCAGAAGUCAGCAAACUAUGGUCUAUGGGCCAAAUCUGGCCACUGCCUGUUUUUGUGCAACUCAUAGGCUAAGAAUGUUUUCUACAUUUUUAGAUGGUAGGAGAAGAACAAAAGAGGAAGAAUGUUUUGUCACAAAAGUAUAUGAGAUUCAAAUUUCAGUGUCCACAGACGGCAAUCCUGGCUCCUACCCCUAAAACAAUCAUUGCAGUGGAGCUCUGCCCUAGCUACGGCCCCUUUCUUCUUUUGGUUCCCUGACUUUGGGGCCUGGAGGGCACAAAGGCAAGGAGCAGGCUGCCAUCCACCCCUUCUCAGAGAACCUGCAGGGAGCUCACCAUGCUCUGCAUCCAGUCUAGGUGGC
rnacentral:lncRNA from 10 species